rnacentral:rRNA from 1 species
UACGUAGGGGGCAAGCGUUGUCCGGAUUCAUUGGGCGUAAAGCGUGCGCAGGCGGUUUUGUAAGUCAGAUGUGAAAUCCCCGGGCUUAACCUGGGAACUGCGUUUGAAACUACGGAGCUGGAGUGUGGCAGAGGGAGGUAGAAUUCCACGUGUAGCGGUGAAAUGCGUAGAUAUGUGGAGGAAUACCGAUGGCGAAGGCAGCCUCCUGGGCCAACACUGACGCUCAUGCACGAAAGCGUGGGGAGCAAACAGG